UACGUAGGGUGCGAGCGUUGUCCGGAAUUAUUGGGCGUAAAGCGCACGUAGGCGGUCUAGCAAGUCGGGUGUGAAAGCCCUCAGCUUAACUGAGGAAGUGCAUUCGAAACUACUAGGCUUGAGUACUGAAGAGGACGACGGAAUUCCCGGUGUAGAGGUGAAAUUCGUAGAUAUCGGGAGGAACACCAGUGGCGAAGGCGGAUCUCUGGGCCAUUACUGACGCUGAGGAGCGAAAGCGUGGGGAGCGAACAGG
rnacentral:rRNA from 1 species